rnacentral:rRNA from 1 species
AGUGAACGCUGGCGGUAGGCCUAACACAUGCAAGUCGAACGGCAGCACAGUAAGAGCUUGCUCUUACGGGUGGCGAGUGGCGGACGGGUGAGGAAUACAUCGGAAUCUACUUUUUCGUGGGGGAUAACGUAGGGAAACUUACGCUAAUACCUCAUACGACCUACGGGUGAAAGCAGGGGAUCUUCGGACCUUGCGCGAUUGAAUGAGCCGAUGUCGGAUUAGCUAGUUGGCGGGGUAAAGGCCCACCAAGGCGACGAUCCGUAGCUGGUCUGAGAGGAUGAUCAGCCACACUGGAACUGAGACACGGUCCAGACUCCUACGGGAGGCAGCAGUGGGGAAUAUUGGACAAUGGGCGCAAGCCUGAUCCAGCUAUACCGCGUGGGUGAAGAAGGCCUUCGGGUGGUAAAGCCCUUUUGUUGGGAAAGAAAAGCAGCAGGUUAAUACCCCGCUGUUCUGACGGUACCAAAAGAAUAAGCACCGGCUAACUUCGU